UACGAAGGGGGCUAGCGUUGCUCGGAAUCACUGGGCGUAAAGGGUGCGCAGGCGGGUCUUUAAGUCAGAGGUGAAAUCCUGGAGCUCAACUCCAGAACUGCCUUUGAUACUGAGGAUCUUGAGUUCGGGAGAGGUGAGUGGAACUGCGAGUGUAGAGGUGAAAUUCGUAGAUAUUCGCAAGAACACCAGUGGCGAAGGCGGCUCACUGGCCCGAUACUGACGCUGAGGCACGAAAGCGUGGGGAGCAAACAGG
rnacentral:rRNA from 1 species